rnacentral:rRNA from 1 species
UACGUAGGUGGCAAGCGUUGUCCGGAAUUACUGGGUGUAAAGCGCGUGUAGGCGGGAGGCCAAGUCUGCUGUGAAAUCGCUCGGCUCAACUGGGCGAGGUCGGUGGAAACUGGUCCCUGGAGGACGGUAGAGGCGAGUGGAAUUCCCGGUGUAGUGGUGAAAUGCGUAGAGAUCGGGAGGAACACCAGUGGCGAAGGCGGCUCGCUGGGACGGUACUGACGCUAAGGCGCGAAAGCGUGGGGAGCAACAGG